rnacentral:lncRNA from 1 species
UAGAAGAGUGUAAAAGGGGAUAUCCAUUUUUGUUGAGCAAGGAGUAUUCAGAAGAAAUCAAGAAUUGGAUAUAAUAUAUUUGGAGACAUAUAUAUAGAAAACAAACUGAUUUUAUGUGCUGGCACAUAUUCAGAAAAGCUUCACCGCACAACUAAAGGACACGUUCGACCACAAUUAUUUGCAUUGCAUGACAAAAAGGAAAUCGUGUGCUGGCACAUAUUCAGAAAGCUUCACCGCACAACUAAAGGAUACGUUCGACCGCAAUUAUUUGCAUUGCAUGACAAAAAGGAAAUCCUCAUCUAACUUUAACCACAAAUCUGUUACGUACGAUGUACGUUCACUAGAAAGCAACCGAGAUACUUGCCCAGCUUGUAGCCAGCAAAUAAUUAGUUUUUCUUUUUCUUUCUUUUUUGUUCUUUUCAUCUUGGUUCCCGACCGUUAAUGUCCAUUCUAAGUGAUCAGAAAAAUGAAAAAAAAUCCCAAUGCAUUCAUUUCAUAUUAAAUUUUCAAUAGAUAACUAAAUUGAAGUCCACAAAAGUAAUUAAAAAUUGUAGACGAUAAUGCUCUGUCAUUUUCGUUCAUUGAGGCGUGUUGUUCUUCAUAUCCCGAGCAUCUACAGAGGAAGCAACGACCACUGGCUUACUGCCCAAGUGAAGUAGCAUCACUGGACCAUAUUUUUCUGAUAAUUUAUGGAGAGAACGAUGAGGAUGUGGCCCAAGUUGAUGAAGAUUUCCUAUAACUGGAAGCUUUCUCGGAAAUGGAGGAAAAAGAUAUCCAUUUUUGUUGAGCAAGGAGUAUUCAGAAGAAAUCAAGAAUUGGAUAUAAUAUAUUUGGAGACAUAUAUAUAGAAAACAAACUGAUUUUAUGUGCUGGCACAUAUUCAGAAAAGCUUCACCGCACAACUAAAGGACACGUUCGACCACAAUU